AAACACUACAAGAAAAUACGUGAUUUGCUACCAAAAGUUUGCUACAAAACGUUUUACUAGUUAAUUUCAAAGGUAAGAACACGCCACCGCUUUUACUCUACGGCGAAACCGCUCUCGAUCUCGCUCGUUCACGAUCUUCCUCCGCUCUGGUCUUGCUCCGUUCACGAUCUCGCUUCGAUCUCACUCUCCUCAAUACAUCUCGCUGCGGUUGCUAUUCUUCGUUGAAAUUUGAUGAUGUCUUCUGUUUCUUCUCCGAUUGCAGUGUAACUUAAAUUUCAACACUCUAAUUUAGUUCCUUUUCACUAAUUGUGCUUUGGAUUUGAUUUGAAUUUCGGUUACUGAAUUUGUUCACCAAUUACGUUUUGCAAAAAUUGAAUUCAUUAGGUUUUGCAAAAAUUGAAUUUAGGAUUACUCUAAUUUAGGUUUUGCACAAAUUGAAUUCAAUUAGCGAAAUGAAAUUUGUGAGAAAUUAUUUUUGACUCCCCUUCGGUAUUACAUUGCCAAACGCAGCCUUAGAUACAAACGAACGAAAUCGAGAGAACAGAACGUGGUAGUGAAAUCAUGGCGUCGGUGGUGAAGAGCAUCAUAGAUGGAGUUAAGGAGAAAGGUCUCGGCGGCUUCUUCAGACACCUCAAGAAUGAAGGAUACCUGAGAUGCCUUCCUAAUGGAAACAUAUUGUAAGUCCAUUUUUUGUUUUGUUUUGCCAUUUUACUCUGUGCGUAUGUAUUCACGUAGGAACAUGAUAAUGACGAUAAUGAGUUAAGUUUUGUUUUCGGUAAUGGCGUUAUAACGAAAUGAUAAGAAUUUUUAGGCUCUGAUUGGGAGUUUGGAGUAGAGAAGGGGAGGAGGGCUUUGGGGGGAAGGGAGGAAAUGUAAAUUGAGAUAGUGGAUUUUGAGAGAAUGAUGAGUAAAUACUCACGAUUUUGAAUUUCGGUUACUGAAUUUGUUCACCAAUUACGUUUUGCAAAAAUUGAAUUCAUUAGGUUUUGCAAAAAUUGAAUUCAGGUUACUGAAUUUGUUUACCAAAUUCACUUUACUGUAUGCGAUAGAAUCAGAUUAUACUUAUUGGAUUGAUUCUAUAAUUCACAUUUGCAGUGGCAUGUAUUUAGAUGAUAAUUCUUAUUCUUACAGAAAAACUUUGUGUUAAGACAAUAAUCCUUCUGUAUA